rnacentral:rRNA from 1 species
UCUUCCGUAGGUGAACCUGCGGAGGG